rnacentral:rRNA from 1 species
GAUGAACGCUGGCGGCGUGCCUAAUACAUGCAAGUCGAGCGAACAGACGAGGAGCUUGCUCCUCUGACGUUAGCGGCGGACGGGUGAGUAACACGUGGAUAACCUACCUAUAAGACUGGGAUAACUUCGGGAAACCGGAGCUAAUACCGGAUAAUAUAUUGAACCGCAUGGUUCAAUAGUGAAAGACGGUUUUGCUGUCACUUAUAGAUGGAUCCGCGCCGCAUUAGCUAGUUGGUAAGGUAACGGCUUACCAAGGCAACGAUGCGUAGCCGACCGGAGAGGGUGAUCGGCCACACUGGAACGGAGACACGGUCCAGACUCCUACGGGAGGCAGCAGUAGGGAAUCUUCCGCAAUGGGCGAAAGCCUGACGGAGCAACGCCGCGUGAGUGAUGAAGGUCUUCGGAGCGUAAAACUCUGUUAUGAGGGAAGAACAAAUGUGUAAGUAACUAUGCACGUCUUGACGGUACCUAAUCAGAAAGCCACGGCUAACUACGUG